UGGGAUAACUCCGGGAAACCGGAGCUAAUACCGGAUAGUUCCUUGAACCGCAUGGUUCAAGGAUGAAAGACGGUUUCGGCUGUCACUUACAGAUGGACCCGCGGCGCAUUAGCUAGUUGGUGGGGUAAUGGCUCACCAAGGCGACGAUGCGUAGCCGACCUGAGAGGGUGAUCGGCCACACUGGGACUGAGACACGGCCCAGACUCCUACGGGAGGCAGCAGUAGGGAAUCUUCCGCAAUGGACGAAAGUCUGACGGAGCAACGCCGCGUGAGUGAUGAAGGUUUUCGGAUCGUAAAGCUCUGUUGUUAGGGAAGAACAAGUGCGAGAGUAACUGCUCGCACCUUGACGGUACCUAACCAGAAAGCCACGGCUAACUACGUGCCAGCAGCCGCGGUAAUACGUAGGUGGCAAGCGUUGUCCGGAAUUAUUGGGCGUAAAGGGCUCGCAGGCGGUUUCUUAAGUCUGAUGUGAAAGCCCCCCGGCUCAACCGGGGAGGGUCAUUGGAAACUGGGAAACUUGAGUGCAGAAGAGGAGAGUGGAAUUCCACGUGUAGCGGUGAAAUGCGUAGAGAUGUGGGAGGAACACCAGUGGCGAAGGCGACUCUCUGGUCUGUAACUGACGCUGAGGAGCGAAAGCGUGGGGAGCGAACAGGAUUAGAUACCCUGGUAGUCCACGCCGUAAACGAUGAGUGCUAAGUGUUAGGGGGUUUCCGCCCCUUAGUGCUGCAGCUAACGCAUUAAGC
rnacentral:rRNA from 1 species